CCUACGGGGAGCUGCAGUGGGGAAUAUUGGACAAUGGGCGAAAGCCUGAUCCAGCCAUGCCGCGUGUGUGAAGAAGGCCUUCGGGUUGUAAAGCACUUUCAGUGGGGAAGAAAGCCUUGGGGCUAAUACCCUCGAGGAAGGACAUCACCCACAGAAGAAGCACCGGCUAACUCCGUGCCAGCAGCCGCGGUAAUACGGAGGGUGCGAGCGUUAAUCGGAAUUACUGGGCGUAAAGCGCGCGUAGGCGGUCUGAUAAGCCGGUUGUGAAAGCCCCGGGCUCAACCUGGGAACGGCAUCCGGAACUGGCAGGCUAGAGUGCAGGAGAGGAAGGUAGAAUUCCCGGUGUAGCGGUGAAAUGCGUAGAGAUCGGGAGGAAUACCAGUGGCGAAGGCGGCCUUCUGGACUGACACUGACGCUGAGGUGCGAAAGCGUGGGUAGCAAACAGGAUUAGAUACCCUGGUAGUC
rnacentral:rRNA from 1 species